GUCUACAGCCAUAUCACCCUGAAUGCACCCAAACUCGUUUGAUCUAGGAAGCUAAGCAGGGUCAGGGCGGGUUAGUACUUGGAUAGGAGACA
ensembl:rRNA 5S_rRNA 5S ribosomal RNA